AACAAACGCUGGCGGCGUGCCUAAUACAUGCAAGUCGAACGGGGAAAGCUUUCGGGUGAGUACUAGUGGCGCACGGGUGAGUAACGCGUGGAUAAUCUGCCUUAGAGUGGGGGAUAACUAGUCGAAAGAUUAGCUAAUACCGCAUAAGACCACAAGAACUGCGGUUCAAGGGGUCAAAGGUUUUUCGCUCUAAGAUGAGUCCGCGUAAGAUUAGCUGGUUGGUAGGGUAACGGCCUACCAAGGCGACGAUCUUUAACUGGUCUGAGAGGAUGAGCAGUCACACUGGCACUGAGACACGGUCCAGACUGCUAAGGGAGGCAGCAGUAGGGAAUAUUGCACAAUGGAGGAAACGCUGAUGCAGCGACGCCGCGUGAGUGAUGAAGGCCUUCGGGUCGUAAAGCUCUGUCGCAGGGGAAUAACACAAUGAAGGUACCCUGUAAGAAAGGAUCGGCUAACUUCGUGCCAGCAGCCGCCGCGGUAA
rnacentral:rRNA from 1 species